AGAGUUUGAUCCUGGCUCAGAACGAACGCUGGCGGCAGGCCUAACACAUGCAAGUCGAACGCCUGUAGCAAUACAGGAGUGGCGCACGGGUGAGUAACGCGUGGGAAUCUGCCCUUCGGUACGGAAUAACCGCGGGAAACUGCGGCUAAUACCGUAUACGCCCUCAGGGGGAAAGCUCCGGCGCCGAAGGAUGAGCCCGCGUCCGAUUAGCUAGUUGGCGGGGUAAAAGCCCACCAAGGCGACGAUCGGUAGCUGGUCUGAGAGGAUGAUCAGCCACACUGGAACUGAGACACGGUCCAGACUCCUACGGGAGGCAGCAGUGGGGAAUAUUGGACAAUGGGGGCAACCCUGAUCCAGCCAUGCCGCGUGAGUGAAGAAGGCCCUAGGGUUGUAAAACUCUUUCGGCGGGGAAGAUGAUGACGGUACCCGCAGAAGAAGCCCCGGCUAACUUCGUGCCAGCAGCCGCGGUAAUACGAAGGGGGCUAGCGUUGUUCGGAAUUACUGGGCGUAAAGGGCGUGUAGGCGGCUCACUAAGUCACGUGUGAAAGCCCCGGGCUUAACCCGGGAAUUGCGCGUGAGACUGGUGAGCUAGAAUCCGGGAGAGGGUAGUGGAAUUCCCAGUGUAGAGGUGAAAUUCGUAGAUAUUGGGAAGAACACCAGUGGCGAAGGCGGCUACCUGGACCGGUAUUGACGCUAAGGCGCGAAAGCGUGGGGAGCAAACAGGAUUAGAUACCCUAGUAGUCC
rnacentral:rRNA from 1 species